rnacentral:rRNA from 1 species
CCUACGGGGGGGCAGCAGUGGGGAAUUUUGGACAAUGGGGGCAACCCUGAUCCAGCCAUUCCGCGUGAGUGAAGAAGGCCUUCGGGUUGUAAAGCUCUUUUGUCCGGAGCGAAACGGGCGGCCCUAAUACGGUCGUCUACUGACGGUACCGGAAGAAUAAGCACCGGCUAACUACGUGCCAGCAGCCGCGGUAAUACGUAGGAUGCGAGCGUUGAUCGGAAUUACUGGGCGUCUUUCGAACCCAGACGGGAAAUCCCCGGGCUCAACCUGGGAAUGGCAGUUGGGACUGCAAGGCUGGAGUGUGGCAGAGGGGACUAGAAUUCCUGGUGUAGCAGUGAAAUGCGUAGAUAUCAGGAGGAAUACCGAUGGCGAAGGCAGGUCCCUGGGUUAACACUGACGCUCAUGCACGAAAGCGUGGGGAGCAAACAGGAUUAGAUACCCGUGUAGUC